UAAGGAAUAUUGGUCAAUGGACGCAAGUCUGAACCAGCCAUGCCGCGUGAAGGAUGAAGGUCCUCUGGAUUGUAAACUUCUUUUAUCUGGGACGAAAACGGGAUUUUUAUCUCAAUUGACGGUACCAGAGGAAUAAGCACCGGCUAACUCCGUGCCAGCAGCCGCGGUAAUACGGAGGGUGCGAGCGUUAUCCGGAUUUACUGGGUUUAAAGGGUGCGUAGGUGGGCUUAUAAGUCAGUGGUGAAAUCUCCGAGCUUAACUUGGUAACUGCCGUUGAUACUAUAGGUCUUGAAUUAUCUGGAGNUAAGCGGAAUAUGUCAUGUAGCGGUGAAAUGCUUAGAUAUGACAUAGAACACCAAUUGCGAAGGCAGCUUACUACAUAUAAAUUGACGCUGAGGCACGAAAGCGUGGGGAUCAAACA
rnacentral:rRNA from 1 species